GUGCCGCAGCCGCGGUAACCCCAGCGCCACAAGUGGGAACCAGUUUUAUUGGGUCUAAAGCAUCCGUAGCCGGCUCUGUAAGUUUUCGGUUAAAUCUGUAUGCUCAACAUACAGGCUGCCGGGAAUACUGCAGAGCUAGGGAGUGGGAGAGGUAGACGGUACUCGGUAGGAAGGGGUAAAAUCCUUUGAUCUAUUGAUGACCACCUGUGGCGAAGGCGGUCUACCAGAACACGUCCGACGGUGAGGGAUGAAAGCUGGGGGAGCAAACCGGAUUAGAUA
rnacentral:rRNA from 1 species